ACUACGGGAGGCAGCAGUGAGGAAUAUUGGUCAAUGGGCGCGAGCCUGAACCAGCCAAGUAGCGUGAAGGAUGACUGCCCUACGGGUUGUAAACUUCUUUUAUAAAGGAAUAAAGUGAGGCACGUGUGCCUUUUUGUAUGUACUUUAUGAAUAAGGAUCGGCUAACUCCGUGCCAGCAGCCGAGGUAAUACGGAGGGUCCGAGCGUUGUCCGGAUUUCUUGGGUUUAACUGGUGCGUAGAGGGGUUGUUAAGUCAGUUGUGAAAGUUUGCGGCUCAACCGUAAAAUUGCAAUGGAUACUGGCAGUCUUGAGUACAGUUGAGGUAGGCGGAAUUCGGGGUGUAGCGGUGAAAUGCUUAGAGAUCACGAAGAACUCCGAUUGCGAAGGCAGCUUACUAAACUGCCACUGACAUUGAUGCUCGAAAGUGUGGGUAUCAAACAGGAUUAGAUACCCGGGUAGUC
rnacentral:rRNA from 1 species